GACGAACGCUGGCGGCGUGCUUAACACAUGCAAGUCGAACGGAAAGGCCCUGCUUUUGUGGGGUGCUCGAGUGGCGAACGGGUGAGUAACACGUGAGUAACCUGCCCUUGACUUUGGGAUAACUUCAGGAAACUGGGGCUAAUACCGGAUAGGAGCUCCUGCUGCAUGGUGGGGGUUGGAAAGUUUCGGCGGUUGGGGAUGGACUCGCGGCUUAUCAGCUUGUUGGUGGGGUAGUGGCUUACCAAGGCUUUGACGGGUAGCCGGCCUGAGAGGGUGACCGGCCAAAUUGGGACUGAGAUAGGGCCCAGACUCCUACGGGGGGCAGGAGGGGGGAAUAUGGAAAAAGGGGGGGAAGCCUGAGGCAGAAACGCCGGGGGGGGGAAGACGGCCUUCGGGUUGAAAACCGCUUUCGCCUGUGACGAAGCGGGGGUGACGGUAAUGGGGAAAGAAGCACCGGCUAACUACGG
rnacentral:rRNA from 1 species